AUUGAACGCUGGCGGCAUGCUUUACACAUGCAAGUCGAACGGUAACAGGCCGCAAGGUGCUGACGAGUGGCGAACGGGUGAGUAAUGCAUCAGAACGUGCCCAGUGGGGGAUAACUACUCGAAAGAGUGGCUAAUACCGCAUGAGAUCUACGGAUGAAAGCAGGGGAUCGCAGGACCUUGUGCUACUAGAGCGGCCGAUGGCAGAAUAGGUCGUUGGUGGGAUACAAGCUUACCAAGCCUACGAUCUGUAGCUGGUCUGAGAGGACGAUCAGCCACACUGGGACUGAGACACGGCCCAGACUCCUACGGGAGGCAGCAGUGGGGAAUUUUGGACAAUUGGCGCAAGCCUGAUCCAGCAAUGCCGCGUGCAGGAUGAAGGCCUUCGGGUUGUAAACGGCUUUUGUACGGAACGAAAAGCCCUGGGUUAAUACCCUGGGGUCAUGACGGUACCGUAAGAAUAAGCACCGGCUAACUACGUGCCAGCCGCCGCCGUAACAC
rnacentral:rRNA from 1 species